CCGCAAUGUCCGAAUGGGGAAACCCACUGCUUCGGCAGUAUCCUGCAGUGAAUACAUAGCUGCUGGAGGCAAACCCGGUGAACUGAAAUAUCUAAGUAACCGGAGGAAAAGAAAUCAACCGAGAUUCCCUGAGUAGUGACGAGCGAACGGGGACCAGCCCUUAAGCUGGAUUGGUUUUAGAAGAACAGUCUGGAAAGACUGGCCAUAGACGGUGACAGCCCGGUAUUCGAAAAGACCUUUUCAGUGAAGACGAGUAAGGCGGGGCACGAGAAACCCUGUCUGAACAUGGGGGGACCAUCCUCCAAGGCUAAAUACUCCUGACCGACCGAUAGUGAACCAG
rnacentral:rRNA from 1 species